CAUGUAAGCGCAGGUGCCACCAUCGAUAUCCUGUGUAUGUGACGACGGCAUUGCAAGCCCAUAGAAAUUUAUUCCGAUACUGAAACAAAAAAAAAAGAAGAGAAAGAAGAUAAUAACAACAAGGAUCUUAUAAGCCAUAGGAAUAUGGAAUAGUCGAGAAGUGGAGGAACAAAAAAUGGUGUUAAGGAAAUACUGAGAACGUCUCUCGGCUUGCUCUCUCAGCUUUUCCACGGCAAAUGACCGGCUUAAGGUGCAACACGGCGAUACUACUACGGCUGCUAAUCGUAGUAUCGCAACGUCGAAAAUUGCCUUAUAAAUUAAGGGCAAUGAUUAACAUCUAUUAAAGCCCAUGAGCACGGGCAGGAAGCACGCUCGUAUUCGAGGACUCUCGGUGCAUCGCCUUCUCAACUUUUUCCCGUACGACACACACGAACGCUUUUCCGUUUGCUAAAUGUAAUACAUAGUGGUUACAGGAGACCAUUACCACACAGUAUAUAUCGUUAUCGUAUAUAUACGUAGAAGAAGAGCUUCACUUGUUAACAACAACGGCUGAAAUUCUCGAUAACAUUAGCCAUGCUAAUGGUAAUUGCUCUUAGAAUGUUGCGAUAUAUAUCGGAUAGACUCGGUUCGAGUCGUAAAAGGUAGAUUUCUACCUUCAUUGAAUAAUUACACGUAGAUGCGCCC